CGAACGCUGGCGGCGUGCCUAACACAUGCAAGUCGAGCGAAGUUAUCCUUCGGGGAUAACUUAGCGGCGGACGGGUGAGUAACACGUGGGUAAACCUGCCUUAUAGAGGGGGAUAGCCUUCCGAAAGGAAGAUUAAUACCGCAUAACAUUGAGCUUUCGCAUGGAAGCUUAAUCAAAGGAGCAAUCCGCUAUAAGGAUGGACCCGCGGCGCAUUAGCUAGUUGGUGAGGUAACGGCUCACCAAGGCGACGAUGCGUAGCCGACCUGAGAGGGUGAUCGGCCACAUUGGGACUGAGACACGGCCCAGACUCCUACGGGAGGCAGCAGUGGGGAAUAUUGCGCAAUGGGGGGAACCCUGACGCAGCGACGCCGCGUGCGGGAUGAAGGCCUCGGGUGUAACGCUUCAGUAGGACGAAGCGAGAGUGACGGUACCUGCAGAAGAAGCGCCGGCUAACUACGUG
rnacentral:rRNA from 1 species